rnacentral:snRNA from 1 species
UCGUUUAGUCGCCCAAAAAAAAAAAAAAAAAAAAAAAAAAAAAAAAAAAGAUUCUUUCGCCUUUUACUAAAGAAUUCCGUGGAGGGGAGCAUUUCAAUGAGUCUUAAGAUAUUUUUCUGCACCUGACGUCGGUCAGGUU